rnacentral:rRNA from 1 species
UACGUAGGGUGCAAGCGUUAAUCGGAAUUACUGGGCGUAAAGGGUGCGCAGGCGGCCCCGCAUGUCAGGCGUGAAAUCCCCGGGCUCAACUUGGGAAUCGCGCUUGAAACUACGGGGCUGGAGUGUGGCAGAGGGAGGUGGAAUUCCACGUGUAGCGGUGAAAUGCGUAGAGAUGUGGAGGAGCACCGAUGGCGAAGGCAGCCUCCUGGGCCAACACUGACGCUCAUGCACGAAAGCGCGGGGAGCAAACAGG